rnacentral:rRNA from 1 species
AGAACGAACGCUGGCGGCAUGCCUAAUACAUGCAAGUCGAACGAACACUUCGGUGUUAGUGGCGCACGGGUGCGUAACGCGUGGGAAUCUGCCCUUGGGUUCGGAAUAACAGUUGGAAACGACUGCUAAUACCGGAUGAUAUCGAAAGAUCAAAGAUUUAUCGCCCAGGGAUGAGCCCGCGUAGGAUUAGCUAGUUGGUGAGGUAAAGGCUCACCAAGGCACGAUCCUUAGCGGUCUGAGAGGAUGAUCAGCCACA